UUUUUUUUGAAAAACACAUAUUAACUAUUUUUGCUCUGAUUGGGUGUACAUUGGCGGUUUUGGUUUUUUUUUCCUGAAAACCGCAAAUUUGUGUCUUCCAUUCACUGCCUUAGUCUCGUCUUCCGCCGGAGUUAUGCCUCCGCCUCUGUAUCCGUCGAGGAGACUCUGAAGUCUGAAGUCUCUCUCUCUCUCUAUAUCACUCAAUCUUCGUUCUACGCCUCUCGCAUUCUCUUGAUGGAAGAAACGAUUGAGGAAAACGAAAGAAGCGAGGGUGUUGCGUUGUUAAGAGCAUCUUGUAUUACGCAGUGGAGUCAGUGGCAAUUACUUGAUUCAAUUUUACCAACAGGAGGGUUUGCUCAUUCCUUUGGUCUUGAAGCAGCUGUUCAGACUCGUUUAGUUUCAUCUCCUGAAGAUUUGGAAACUCAUAUCAUUCAUCUGUUGGAUAACACGGCUAGCUUAUUGCUUCCUUUUGUCUACUCUGCUCUCAAGUCUCCUGAUUUAGAGACAUGGCACAAACUAGACCGAACUCUUGACGCCACUUUAACCAACCAAGUCUCUUCGAAGGCCUCUGUUUCACAAGGAUCAGCGUUGUUUCGUAUAGCUGCUUCGGUUUUCACUGAGAUCCCUAAUCUGAAAACGAUUCGGGACGCCUCUUUGGGGUCCAAGAACGUGUGUUUCCACCAUGCACCUAUAUUUGGGCUUGUGUGUGGUCUACUCUGCAUGGAUUCCGAGACUUCUCAGAGAGCUUAUCUGUUUGUAACGCUGAGAGAUGUUGUCUCGGCUGCUACGAGAUUGAACUUAGUUGGACCGAUGGGUGCUUCGGUGAUGCAGCAUCGCAUUGCUAUUGUCGCUGAAACGAUUUUAGAGAAAUGGAUGGAUCGUGAAGCUAGUGAAGCGUGUCAGACGUCUCCUUUACUGGACGUUGUGCAAGGUUGUCACGGUUACUUGUUUUCCAGACUGUUUUGCUCUUGAUGAAGCUCCUUAGCUAAACCAUGACUUGUGAUCACAUUAUAUAGUUGUGAGCAAAGCCAUUUACAUAAAAUAAGAGGUUUUAUGCCAUCGACUACAAAUGAAAACAAGUCUCACCCUCAUUCCCAAGGGGAGCAUCGUCUUUUAAAGAGUUUAGCCCACUAUCAUGCUUGCCCUCUGAUUAAUCUUCUUGCAAAGUUCACUUUUAGCUUUUCUAUCUUUGUGGCCUGUUCUCUUUACCGCUUUGAUAUGUAGCUAGCACACGCUAUUUGUCUUUCAUUUCCGUUUAAAUAAAAGUGCCCCGGCCAUUACAAAAUAA